rnacentral:rRNA from 1 species
AAUAGAUACCCUGGUAGUCCACGCCGUAAACGGUGGGUACUAGGUGUGGGUUUCCUUCCUUGGGAUCCGUGCCGUAGCUAACGCAUUAAGUACCCCGCCUGGGGAGUACGGCCGCAAGGCUAAAACUCAAAGAAAUUGACGGGGGCCCGCACAAGCGGCGGAGCAUGUGGAUUAAUUCGAUGCAACGCGAAGAACCUUACCUGGGUUUGACAUGCACAGGACGCUGGUAGAGAUAUCAGUUCCCUUGUGGCCUGUGUGCAGGUGGUGCAUGGCUGUCGUCAGCUCGUGUCGUGAGAUGUUGGGUUAAGUCCCGCAACGAGCGCAACCCUUGUCUCAUGUUGCCAGCACGUCAUGGUGAGGACUCGUGAGAGACUGCCGGGGUCAACUCGGAGGAAGGUGGGGAUGACGUCAAGUCAUCAUGCCCCUUAUGUCCAGGGCUUCACACAUGCUACAAUGGCCGGUACAAAGGGCUGCGAUGCCGUGAGGUGGAGCGAAUCCUUUCAAAGCCGGUCUCAGUUCGGAGUC